rnacentral:rRNA from 1 species
AGCGGAGGAAAAGAAACUAACAAGGAUUCCCCUAGUAACGGCGAGCGAAGCGGGAAGAGCUCAAAUUUGAAAGCUGGCACCUCCGGUGUCCGCGUUGUAAUCUCGAGACGUGUUUUCCGUGCGGCUCUAUGGACAAGUCCCUUGGAAUAGGGCAUCGUAGAGGGUGAGAAUCCCGUACUUGCCAUGGAAGAACCGUGCUUUGCGAUACACGCUCUAAGAGUCGAGUUGUUUGGGAUUGCAGCUCAAAAUGGGUGGUAGACUCCAUCUAAAGCUAAAUAUCGGGGAGAGACCGAUAGCGAACAAGUACCGUGAGGGAAAGAUGAAAAGCACUUUGGAAAGAGAGUUAAAAGUACGUGAAAUUGUCGAAAGGGAAGCACUUGAAGUCAGCCAUGCUGCUUGAGACUCAGCCUGGCCUUUGGGCUUGGUGUAUUUCUCGGUGGCAAGCCAGCAUUGGUUUGGGUCGUCGGAGAAGCGCAUAGGGAAUGUAGCGUCUCCGGACGUGUUAUAGCCUUAUGCAGGAUACGACGACCUGGAUCAAGGAACGCAGUGUGCCCUCUGGGCGGGUCUUCGGACACCUUCACAC